rnacentral:rRNA from 1 species
UAUUAGUCAAUGCUCGCAAGAGUGAACUAGCUAACUGAAAUCAAAAGUGUGUCACUUUUGAUAAGGUAAGGGAAAAGAAAUGAUACUACCUUACUAUUAGUGUCGUCCAAGUACUCGUGCCAGAAGACUCGGUAAGGCGAGAGACGCAAACGUUAGUCGUCCUAAUCAGGCGUAAAGGGUUUGUAGGCGGCUUUGAGAAUUCAUUCUUUUUAAAUUACACAAUUCUCUCCCAAAAAGAAAGAAAACAAUAAAGAAUGAGUCAAUUAAAGCUAGAAUCAAAUAGAGGUCAAAUUAAAUAAUACUUGGUGUAAGAUUGGUAUCUUUAAAAACCAAGCGGAAUUCUAACGGCGAAGGCUUUUUUCCAAUAAUGAUUGACGCUGAGAAACUAAGGUGAGGACAGAAAAAAGGAUUAGAGACCCUCGUAUUCCUCACUGUCAACGAUGAAUGGUAGUUACUAGAUAAACAAUCAAAUCAAUUUCAAAGAUUGAAAUGAAAUCUAUUCUAGAAGCGAUGUUAACACGAAAACCAUUCCGCCUUGUGAGUACGACUGCAAAGUUGAAAACAAAAAAAUUAGUCGGUUUCGGAGCAAACGAAGUGAAGCAUGUUAUUUA